GCAAAAGACCAUGUAGCUUCAGAAAGAGAAAGAUAUCCAUUUUUCUAGAUCCGAAGACUUUCUUAUACUCAGGUUCAAUCUGCACAAAGCUCACCUCUACUUUCUGUCUUGGAUUUCUCUGCUUUGAGCAACACUUAUCUUCCCUUUCUGUUGAGCUAUUUUCAGUGUAUUUUUGUACCUUGCAAGUAAUGACUAAAUGGGGUACAAGGUAGGAAAAGAGGUAAGAGGUUUUAUGUGAAUUGUGGAAAGAUGGAUGGAGUUUCACAAAAAAGCAUCAAAAAAUUGGAGAGGAAGACAAAAAAGAAAAAGAAUUAAAGAGAAGGAAACACUCCUCACACAGGGUGUUGUGGGAGACACCUGAUGAGAGGUGACUGGAUCACGGGGCCAGUUUCCCCCAUGCUGUUCUCAGGAUACUGCGUGAGUUCUCAUGAGAUCAGAUGGAUUUUUAAGGAGCUCUUCCCCCUUUGCUUCCUUCACACACUCUCUCCUCUGCCUUUUGAAGAAGGUCCUUGUUUCCCCUUCACCUUGCACCAUGAUUGGAAGUUUCCUGAGGCCUCCCCAGCUAUGUGGAAC
rnacentral:lncRNA from 1 species